UACGUAGGGUGCGAGCGUUGUCCGGAAUUAUUGGGCGUAAAGGGCUCGUAGGCGGUUUGUCGCGUCGGGAGUGAAAACCAGGUGCUUAACACCUGGCUUGCUUUCGAUACGGGCAGACUAGAGGUAUGCAGGGGAGAACGGAAUUCCUGGUGUAGCGGUGAAAUGCGCAGAUAUCAGGAGGAACACCGGUGGCGAAGGCAGAUCUCUGGGCCGUAACUGACGCUGAGGAGCGAAAGCAUGGGGAGCGAACAGG
rnacentral:rRNA from 1 species